ensembl:lncRNA
ACCAAAUUCACAGGACAAAGGCAAAGCUGCCCAUCCUGCCAGGAAGCAAAGCCUACAACUCUUCUUGCUGACACCUAUAAUUAGGCUGGGCUCUUGUCUCAGGAUGAUGAGUGCUGAUGGGAAAGAGGAGAAAGAUCCUGCCAGGGGUAUCGUGUGGAGCUGAGCCAGAGCAGACCCAGGCCAUGAGCAGCAAUUGCCAACAGAUGUUUGCCUGGUCUUAAAUUACGUUGUCUGCAUGCCUGGAAAAAGAUAGUGUCUUAUAAAUAACUGUGCUUUGAUGCUCUGUGGCCUUGCAUAUUCAGGUCCCACCGUUAGGCACGUAUGUGUUAGUCAGAACUAGCUGGAAAUGGACUGGGGGUGGAAUUUCUUUAGUCAUGUCCAGAAGUGGGGUGCUGUCAGCUCUUCCUGGGAAGUUAUGGGGGAUCGUGGAAGAAUGACUCAUCCGUUCUGUUCUGCGUGAGGAAGCCUGGGAAAGCACCAUGCUUCUGGAGGAAAAGGCGUGCAAUUCAGCAGCUUAAUACUCCCAGCACGACGUCCUCCCCAUGUGCCACUGAAGAAUGGGCACUGAGGAUUUAUAGUAACAUGCUGCAGUGCCCUGAGGCAAUGCCAGGGGAAGGCAUCUUGGUGCCCAGCAGUGCAAGGAGCUCUGUGGUAGCAGGACUCUGGGAUCCCUGGGGUAAGACAACGAUAUCCCCCAUGUACCACCUCCAGGGUGAGAACAUGAGCAGCAGAGAGGCCAACUGAGAUGCUGGGAACAAGCACGUGCCACUGUGGUUAAUGGCUUAUUGAUGGGCUUACAGCUUUUCCUUCCAUCAUUACCAUGCAAGGUCUGGGUUUAGAUUUUUACUAAUUUGUUUGUUCCUAGCUGUUCAAUAGAUCUUUUCAGCAAACAUGCUUCAAUCUUUGGGUUAUUCACAAACACGCUUGCUAAAUGUAUUACUGUCCACUUAAUGAAUUCCAGUUGUUCAUUAGCACACCUAUCAUGUGGUAUUACUUCUGCUUUCUGAAUGGAUGUGAUAAAAUAGAUGCAUUAAAUAAAAAGAAAAUUAAAAAAAAAAAGGCAGGUGGGGAAAAAUGAAGUUUCAGUGAUGUUUUCAGGAGGAAGGUGUGAAAAACAGGUGGACUCUAUGCUGAGGAGGUCAGUGGUUUCCUGUGCAAAGGCAGAGCAGUGGACACUGAUGAAGCAGCAGCAAAGCAUGGACUGAAACCAUAACCCUGCAUUGGGAUGAGUCAGAAAGAGGAGAAAGGCUGCACUGCAGCAUCCCUAAUGAAGGCUCUAGCUGCUCUGCACAGCCUGUUUUGACCCACACUGUCAGCCUCCCUGUGUAAACCUCAGUUGCAGCGUAAGCUUGUAUCUCCAGCAGAGUGGAACUGAAUGCACACCUCCUAUUUCCCCAAGGAGCUUUUAGGAUCUCCAAGUGAUCUCCCACCUGCACCCAAGAGGUAAUUAAUAGAGUAUCUUAAUUUUUUUUUUGUGUGUGUGUGAAAUACAUCACAAAGUUACAAAGCAUAAAAUUAGAAAGCUUUGUGUUGAGAUGAAAUUUUAUUUCCCUAAAAAAUUGCUUCUGUUUCACAAUGGAGAUUGAAUUCAUC